GGAGAGGUGGCUGAGUGGUUGAAAGCGCCAGAUUGCUAAUCUGUUGUAUGUAAUUAUAAUCAUACCAAGGGUUCGAAUCCCUUUCUCUCCU
rnacentral:tRNA from 1 species